UAGGGGGCGAGCGUUAUCCGGAUUUAUUGGGCGUAAAGCGUGUGUAGGCGGUUUGUUAAGUAUAAGAUUAAAGCCUGGAGCUCAACUCCAGUUCGUCUUAUAAACUGGCAAACUUGAGUGCAGUAGAGGCAAGUGGAAUUUCUAGUGUAGCGGUUAAAUGCGUAGAUAUUAGAAGGAACACCAGUGGCGAAGGCGGCUUGCUGGGCUGUUACUGACGCUGAGACACGAAAGCGUGGGGAGCAAA
rnacentral:rRNA from 1 species